rnacentral:rRNA from 1 species
CGAGUAAUGCAUUGAUAACCUGCCUUUGAGAUGGGGAUAACAACGUCUCGCAAGAGACUUCCGAAAGGGUUGCUAAUACCCAAUAAGACUGUAGGUGCGGAGGUGCUGAGAGUCAUAAGGUCUGGAGUGAAAGCUCCAUUAUGCUCAGAGAGGGGUCAAUGUCCUAUCAGCUAGUUGGUAUGGGUAAAGGCCUACCAAGGCGAAGACGGGUAGCCGGCCUGAGAGGGUGGUCGGCCGCAUUGGGACUGAGACACUGCCCAGACUCCUACGGGAGGCUGCAGUCGAGAAUCUUUCGCAAUGCCCGCAAGGGUGACGAAGCGACGCCGCGUGUGGGAAGAAGGCCUACGGGUUGUAAACCACUGUCAGGAGUUAAGAAAGGUGUACGGGUAAAUAGUCCGUGCAUUUGACAAAAGCUCCGGAGGAAGCCACGGCUAACUCUGUGCCAGCAGCCGCGGUAAUACAGAGGUGGCAAGCGUUGUUCGGAAUUAUUGGGCGUAAAGAGCACGUAGGCGGCCCUGCAAGUCAGCUGUGAAAGCCUCCUGCUUAACGGGAGAAGUGCAGUUGCAAACAUACGGGGCUAGAGUGCGGAAGGGGAGAGUGGAACUUCUGGUGGAGCGGUGAUAAUGCGUAGAUAUCAGAAGGAACAUCGGCGGCGAAAGCGGCUCUCUGGUCCGUAACUCGACGCUGAGGUGCGAAAGCCAGGGGAGCAAUACGGGAUUAGAUACCCCGGUAGUCCUGGCCGUAAACGAUGGGCACUCGGUAGAGGGGUUUGAAUAUCUCUCUGCCUGAGCUAACGCGUUAAGUGCCCCGCCUGGGGAGUACGGCCGCAAGGCUAAAACUCAAAAGAAUUGACGGGGGCUCGCACAAGCGGUGGAGCAUGUGGCUUAAUUCGAUGCAACACGAAGAACCUUACCGGGGCUCGACAUGACAGAAGUAGGAGUCCGAAAGGACAACCAACGGUAUCCAGUCCGUAGCUGUCACAGGUGUUGCAUGGCUGUCGUCAGCUCGUGUCGUGAGACGUUGGGUUAAGUCCCCUAACGAGCGAAACCCUUGUCUUUAGUUGCCAACGGGUCAAGCCGGGCACUCUAAAGAGACUGCUGUCGUUAAGACGGAGGAAGGUGGGGAUGACGUCAAGUCAUCAUGGCCCUUAUGUCCCGGGCUGCACACGUGCCUACAAUGGUCGGUACAAAGGGAUGCUAAAUCGACUAGAUGGAGCGAAACCCAGAAAGCCGGUCCCAGUUCAGAUUGGAGGCUGAAACCCGCCUCCAUGAAGGAGGAAUCGCUAGU